CAAUAGCGUAUAUUAAAGUUGUUGCAGUUAAAAGCUCGUAGUUGGAUUUCGGAACGGGCCAGUUGGUCCGCCGCAAGGUGAGUUACUGACUGGUCUGUUCUUCUUCGCAAAGACUGCGUGUGCUCUUUGUUGAGUGGGCGUAGGAUUUACGACGUUUACUUUGAAAAAUUAGAGUGUUCAAAGCAGGCUAUCGCUUGAAUACAUGAGCAUGGAAUAAUGGAAUAGGACUUUGGUCCUAUUUUGUUGGUUUUGAGAGCUGGGGCAGCGAUUGAUAGGGACGGAUGGGGGCGUCCGAACUUUACUGUCAGAGGUGAAAUUCUUAGAUCGGUCAAAGGCGAACUACUGCGAACGCAUUCGCCAAGAAUGUUUUCUUUAAUCAAGAACGAAAGUUAGGGGAUCGAAGACGAUCAGAU
rnacentral:rRNA from 1 species